rnacentral:rRNA from 1 species
GGAGGAAGCCUGCUUUCUCCUGCCGGCGACCGGCGCACGGGUGAGUAACACGUAUGCAACCUGGCCGUCACAGGUGGAUAACCGGAAGAAAUUCCGACUAAUACAGCAUAACACUCCUGAGGGACAUCCUUCGGGAGUCAAAGGAGGUAACUCCGGUGACGGAUGGGCAUGCGGCGCAUUAGGUAGUUGGUAGGGUAACGGCCUACCAAGCCGACGAUGCGUGGGGGUUCUGAGAGGAAGGUCCCCCACAUUGGAACUGAGACACGGUCCAAACUCCUACGGGAGGCAGCAGUGAGGAAUAUUGGUCAAUGGCCGGAAGGCUGUACCAGCCAAGUCGCGUGAGGGAAUAAGGCCCUAUGGGUCGUAAACCUCUUUUGUCAGGGAGCAAAGGCGUCCACGUGUGGACGAGAGGAGAGUACCUGAAGAGAAAGCAUCGGCUAACUCCGUGCCAGCAGCCGCGGUAAUACGGAGGAUGCGAGCGUUAUCCGGAUUUAUUGGGUUUAAAGGGUGCGUAGGCGGAGUGUCAAGUCAGCGGUAAAAUUUCGGGGCUCAACCCCGUCGUGCCGUUGAAACUGACGCCCUUGAGUGAGUGAGAAGUAAGCGGAAUGCGUGGUGUAGCGGUGAAAUGCAUAGAUAUCACGCAGAACGCCGAUUGCGAAGGCAGCUUACCGGCGCCCAACUGACGCUGAAGCACGAAAGCGUGGGUAUCGAACAGGAUUAGAUACCCUGGUAGUCCACGCAGUAAACGAUGAAUACUAGCUGUCCGGGGCGAAUGGGCCCUGGGUGGCACAGCGAAAGCGUUAAGUAUUCCACCUGGGGAGUACGCCGGCAACGGUGA